rnacentral:rRNA from 1 species
AACGAACGCUGGCGGCAUGCCUAACACAUGCAAGUCGAACGAGACCUUCGGGUCUAGUGGCGCACGGGUGCGUAACGCGUGGGAACCUGCCCUUAGGUUCGGAAUAACUCCCCGAAAGGGGUGCUAAUACCGGUUAAUGUCUUCGGACCAAAGAUUUAUCGCCUUUGGAUGGGCCCGCGUUGGAUUAGCUAGUUGGUAGGGUAAAAGCCUACCAAGGCGACGAUCCAUAGCUGGUCUGAGAGGAUGAUCAGGCACACUGGGACUGAGACACGGCCCAGACUCCUACGGGAGGCAGCAGUGGGGAAUAUUGGACAAUGGGCGAAAGCCUGAUCCAGCAAUGCCGCGUGAGUGAUGCAGGCCUUAGGGUUGUAAAGCUCUUUUACCCGGGAUGAUAAUGACAGUACCGGGAGAAUAAGCUCCGGCUAACUCCGUG